GAUGAACGCUAGCGGCAGGCCUAAUACAUGCAAGUCGAACGGUGUCUUCGGACAUAGUGGCGCACGGGUGCGUAACACGUAUGCAACCUACCUUACAUUGGGGGAUAGCCUUUCGAAAGGGAGAUUAAUACCGCAUAACACAGUAGCUGGGCAUCCAGCAGCUGUUAAAGAUUUAUCGAUGUAAGCUGGGCAUGCGUCCAAUUAGCUAGUUGGUGAGGUAACGGCUCACCAAGGCAAUGAUUGGUAGGGGAACUGAGAGGUCAAUCCCCCACACUGGCACUGAGAUACGUGCCAGACUCAUGUGGGGGGCAGCAGUAGGGAAUAUUGGGCAAUCGACCAAAGCCUGACCCAGACCUGCCGCGUGCAGGAUGAAGGCGUUAUGCGUUGUUAACUGCUUUAAUACAGGAAGAGACGGCUCUUGCGAGAGGAAUUGACGGUACUGUAUGAACAAGGACCGGCUGACGGCUUCCCUGCCGCCGCUGUAAGAC
rnacentral:rRNA from 1 species